CACGUAGGCGGUUUCUUAAGUCAGAGGUGAAAGCCCGGGGCUCAACUCCGGAAUUGCCUUUGAAACUGGGAGACUUGAACACGGGAGAGGUGAGUGGAAUUCCGAGUGUAGAGGUGAAAUUCGUAGAUAUUCGGAGGAACACCAGUGGCGAAGGCGGCUCACUGGACUGUAACUGACGCUGAGGCUCGAAAGCGUGGGGAGCAAACAGGAUUAGAUACCCCAGUA
rnacentral:rRNA from 1 species